UUAAACACAUUUAUAUUGUACAUUUCUUCAUUUAGAUCUAUUCUGCAAGAUUUGUAUACAGUAGGACAUACAAGUUUCAACAAGGUCGAUCUGAAGUUCCUGUGUCCAUGUGUGGGUGAAGUGGGGAAUAUUGAGACCGUUUACAUUUAAAGAAAUUACUUUAACAGUGUUAUCCAUUACUAAGUUGUGAAUCGGCUGGUCUAUCGACUCAGGAAGGCCUCUCACUCUUAAAUUGCAUCGUCGCCCUCUAUUAUCAAGGUCUUCGACUCUGCGGGUGAGUAGUUGUAUUGCCCUGCUUUGUGAUUCUGUAACCGUUAAUAAAGAUUCUAAAGUGUUUUCCACUGACUCGGCUCUGUGUUCUAUGUCUGCUGUCUUGGAAUGCAGGGCCGUGAUCUCGGCCUUUAGGUCUCCCACUUCCUCCUUUAGCGUCGUUUUAAUUUGCGUCGCUAAAUCAAGGAAAUCUUGUUUUGUAGGCAGAGUUUUAAGAUAUGAAAGAGUACCUUGGUCUGUAUUGAUGGACUCACAUUCAGAGUCUGCGUCUGUGCCAUCCGGUUUGCCUGUCUCUGAGCUACCCUCGUGUGCGUCGCUGUCUUGCUCCGCUGGUGUUAGAAACUUUUUCAGAAACUUUUGUGAUUCGGUAAGUCUGUUCCCCUUUGGUUCUUCCCUCUGGGGAUCUCUGCUUUUACUGUGUUUCCCCAUGUUUGGU